GAUGAACGCUGGCGGCGUGCCUAAUACAUGCAAGUCGAGCGAACGGACGAGAAGCUUGCUUCUCUGAUGUUAGCGGCGGACGGGUGAGUAACACGUGGAUAACCUACCUGUAAGACUGGGAUAACUUCGGGAAACCGGAGCUAAUACCGGAUAAUAUUUUGAACCGCAUGGUUCAAAAGUGAAAGACGGUCUUGCUGUCACUUAUAGAUGGAUCCGCGCUGCAUUAGCUAGUUGGUAAGGUAACGGCUUACCAAGGCAACGAUGCAUAGCCGACCUGAGAGGGUGAUCGGCCACACUGGAACUGAGACACGGUCCAGACUCCUACGGGAGGCAGCAGUAGGGAAUCCUCCGCAAUGGGCGAAAGCCUGACGGAGCAACGCCGCGUGAGUGAUGAAGGUCUUCGGAUCGUAAAACUCUGUUAUUAGGGAAGAACAUAUGUGUAAGUAACUGUGCACAUCUUGACGGUACCUAAUCAGAAAGCCACGGCUAACUACGUG
rnacentral:rRNA from 1 species